ACUACACUUUUGGGUGACCCGUGCAAGGUGGAAAGACUUGGAUGUCUUUCAUUAUUCUAUUUUUUUUAAUUGAUAACAGCUUAAGAAUAUUGUCUCUAAUUAAUUAUUACACUCUUAAAAAUAUUUCUAUCCUUUAAAAAGUAAUUGUACUCCUGCCGGAUUACUAAAUGUUGAGUAAGAUGCACUACAUAAAUCCGGGAAAACGUCAAUAAUUUAAUAACGAUUAAAGUGAGAUUUUUAAACAAUAACUCAGAGAAGAAUUGAAAACUCAAAUUUGAAAAACUCCAUCCUUGGCAAAAAUAUGGCAACAUUACGACGAAUUUUCGUCGGGACGUCACUUCUCGUGUUUUUUGUCUUCUUCGCCAUAAUAUUUUCGGGACAAAAGGGACAAAUUGAGUUUAACUUUAUACCGAGGAAAGUACAUGAACUUCGACAAUCCGUGAUGUUUUGGAAACAAUCAGUUAAUCAAGGUGAAGAAGAAAACGAAUCGGGUGAAGAAGACGGAAAAUCGGGAUCUGCAUUGGAAAAUUUAAGAGCGGAAUUGGAAUCCAUACAGAAUUUUUACGUUGAUGACGAAAUUCUGGGAGGGGAAGCUUCCGGAGUGUUUGACUUCAACAAUGUAGCAAGUAUGGCAGCAGGGCCUAAAACGAAGGCAUGCAGUCGUGCCCCUCACCUGCAUGAAAUACUUUUCAGUAACACGUACUGGCAGAUGCUGCGCGUGAUUGAGAAAAAUACGACUGGAAUGAUGUAUCUCUAUAGCGCGAACGCUGAUGGGCGUGGCACCGGUAAAAAGAUUCGUGUCGUGACCAUGAUAGAUGACGCCUUUAGGAAAGCGAAUUUCACGGUUUGGUGCAAUUUAUGGUCGGGGAAUAAUUCCUUCAUAAGUACCACAAAUGCUACAUUUAAAAAUAUUUGGCCGUGGGGUCAAUCCGGUGCUUAUCACCCUAUCUUGGUUACCUGUCAUUUGGACGAUAUUGACGAGUUUGACGCUGAAGUUGACAACUCGGAUGGGUUUGAAUGGCCUGCCUCCGUUUCAAUAGUUUAUCAGAAGUGUCAGCAAGCAACUAAUCAACUGAAAGUGGUCAACAAGGAUGAGAGAGUUGGCGAUUUCGGGGUUUGUUUCAAGUGGCUGGAUUUCUCUGAGGUGGACUUGUCCCGCCGAAUUAUUGAGAUGGUUGAGCUGCUCAGAGUUUUGGGGGUUAGUGGAAUUCACUUUCCGUACAUGGCGGCACAUCCGAAUGUUGAUAAGGUACUGAAGUAUUAUGAAGAUGAGGAUCAUCCAAUUGUCCACCUGAAACCGUUUAGUCUUCCCGGACCGUACAGUAAUUUGCCACACUUGCGACAUUUAUUAUUAAGGCGAAACAACAAUGUCAAAUUGAGAUCCGAGUUGAUACCCUAUGUGGCCUGUUUUCUGGAGAACAUGUAUCGUUAUAAGUAUAUUGCGAUAAUCGAUAUUGAUGAGGUUGUAUUACCCACGGCAAACAGCACCUUCACUAAUUACCCCGAACUCUUUGAAGAGCUUGAGAAAAUGAAUACUAACGUCACUCACUACAGUUUCUGCUUCGACAUGAAAUUAUUCCUGGACAGGAUGCAACGGACGAACGGCACUCUUGUGGCGGAUCUGCACGAAAUCCGUCCCGAGUUAUUCAAUGAUCCUGAUCCACAGCUUCCUUACGUCAUGAACCGCGUUUCCCCCCUUUGGGUCCCAAUAUUCCGGUUAAACCUAGCAAUUUGCGGAAAGUGUAUUUCGACAAAGCUUACUUAUGCAAUUCCGGUCGUCACACUAAUGUGAAAUGUUUCCACAAUACGGAAUCCGUUCUUCUUGUUCAUAAUCACUCGCCCUCUGCAUGUCUGGAGGGUGUUACUUCUUGCUCCAAACGGUAACUCCAAAGGAUUUUCGAACCCCGUAAUCUCAAAAUUGGAGGCCCUCUUCACUAGCUUGAUCCGAUUGUAUGGAGCUCUACCCUUUCUUCUUACUUGUUCUGCUAUGAUAAUGUCGGUCGACAAUUAUUAUUACAUCGUGCAAUCCAUUUCCAGUACUUACGGAUUCAACUGUCGUUCUGUUUCAACCCUUCACUGCAUCCGGUUUGGCAUGCUACUCAUCAGUGCGUACGAAAUCUGUCGCCUCAACUGUCUAAUAUGUCGUCGUACUAAUUCCGAAACCACAUAACUGCACUCGAUGCUUAAUUCCGAAACAACGUAAGUGCACCCGAUACUUAAUUCCGAAACCACAUAAGUGCACAGUAAAAACUAUUUAAAGACAUAAGUGCAAUUCCAAAAAUGAAUUAAUUAUUUGUUCAAGAUAUUCAUGCAAACUGAACGCAAAUACAACAUAAAUGUAUAUUGGUGGUCAUGAUUCGUACACUAGACUUAUUAUCACGUUUAUAUGCUAAAGUAAAUUUCACGCUGUUGCCACGAAUUAAAUUAAGCAAGUAUUAACCUAAUUUUUAACUUAAUUUACUCUCCAAAUAAAUAUCUUUCCUGUGUUCUUUCUUUCGUCUUUCUUUCCUGUGUUAAAAUAAAAAUAUGUCAAUAGGAUUGUGAA